UUGUGGAGCACACAGAAGCUUGGUUCCAAGUAGAACUUGAGCUGCUUUUUACAAAUAUUUGCUGCUGGAAUGGCUGAAUAUAUUAUUCAACAGGCCACGGAGAACCUGCCUCACAAACAGAGAGGCUCCACAAGAUUGAAAGAUGAAGCCAAUACUACAGAGGGGCCCAAUAUGGGAAGCAUCAUAAAGGGCAGGGAGUAAAACAUCCCUGGAAGAGAGAAACACGAACAGCCUUGGUUUCCACAAGGAGCCACACCUGUGGCAGUCCUGGUACCUGCAGACAGAAGAGAAACUCCCAUUUGCCACAGAGAGCCAGACUAAUCUCAAACAACUCUCGUCCCAGGACACAACUGCAUCCUUGGUCUUUGAGGGAGAGAAGAAAGCCAAUGGAGGAGUAAGAGACUGACUCUUCUGUGUUGAAGUGAGAGGGGAAAAGAUUCCUUUCAAAUCCAAAGCAGAUAUCUAGGAACAGCAUCCAUAUUACUGAAGCCUGUCUCUUUCUGGCCAGAGGAGAAUGAGCAGCCCAGUGCUUUCCCAGCCUCUUAGCAAAAGGAUGAAAGUGCCUUGGUCUAUGGUUCUUGUGAACUGUGAGCAUACUCCUCGGUCCUGGGAAGUGUCUGUGGUGUCCCCUCGGACAUGGUUGGGGGUAUGUGUGGCUCUCUGAAGAAACAGGUUGAGUGAAAUACCCACUUAGAUGAUUUGGAUACAAAUGCAGGGACUCAAUUUCUCAAGUUUCUGUUAGCUAUGACAUUCAUAAGUGGUGUUCUACAGGCAGCUUGCAUUGUGUCGUUAAAUAGGACUGGGCUCCAUGGCGAAAGCUGCCCUCUGCAUGCCCGCACAGUUCUUAAAGCACUGCAGCAGAAGACAUGCGCUUGGCAAAGAAUGCCAAAGACCCAUGACCCUUAGAAUGUGGGACAAUCCUGGAAAUUUGCUUUUCAAGGACAAGGAGCCUUCGGUCUACUUUAGAAGAGGGGGUGCGAUCUGAGCCCAUUAGGACCUAUCCAUCCGUGCAAGCUAUAUGCUGGCAUUUGGGAAUAAAGGAAGUGAAGUAAAUUUACUAACUCCUGGCCUUGAAAGGAGAUGAAUUCAAGAUAGCAUCUAGAAAGUCAACAUUCAGAAAACAGUGGCUUGUACCCAUGACCGCCAUGCUGAAAAGUGUCCCAGCCACCUCCCACUCUGUCACUUACACUUUUACAGCCCUCAAAAAUGCUGUAUUCACAACCUUGCUAACAGAGAUUUCUGUCGGGGUUUCUUUGUCUUAAGGAGGAUCACACUUCUCAGUAAUUUUUCUCAUCUCAUUCUAAGACAGGCAGAAGUUCAGAGAUUUACAUUUCAAAAACAACGCAAAACCCCACAACUGGAUACUUCAGAAUAGGCAAUACACAUUUCCUUUGUUGUGGAGGAAAAAAAUGUUUACUUAAGUUUCAUCUAAGAAAGACUCCCUAGAAAAGGCAACCAAGCUUAUUUCACAGUCCCCGGCCCCCUCCACUCUUAACUGCUGUGUUUCUAAUCAAAGUUCCUGAAGCCACAGGUUUCUUUUUAACCUUUAUUAUGUCUGUAUACAACAAUGUAACAGUUUCAAUUACCUCCAUGUUUUGUACUAACAUAAAAGCCACACAUCAUAAGUCAACCCAGUUAAUGUUACGCAUUAUGGCGAGGCUGAAGCUACAUCAAGAGAAACAGACCCCAACGUCUACACCUCUCAGACAGACAACUGCAGUGAGAAAGUCAUGGAGCCUCUCACUCUCAGGAGCCCAGAGCUGUGAGCCUUGCUAGCCAGAAAUCUGGAAUGGAGUCCCCCCUGUGAGCUUCCCUACAGGUCCCUCCUUGGUGCCUGUCCUGACCCAGUGCAAGUCUCCGAAGACAUUUUCACAGCUGCGCACCUGCUGCAUCAGGAAAAGAGCAAUUCAGUGAUGGCAUCCCGAGGUAAACCAGAAAGAAGCCUCAAAGGGCUGAUAAUUCUGCCAGAGAGCCUGGUCCCAAGAAAGAAAAGAGACGUGGAUUCAAGAGGAAGAGCUGGCUCUCUUAGAAGCACUUCCUUAGACUCCGUAUUUCAUUUCCCAGAAAGUAUGAAUUAAUUUGGAAACUUAAACUGGGCAUCCGCUUUUGGACUUGGGAAUCCAAUGAUGACCUCUUGGGCUGGGCGUGGUGAGGGCUGCUUCCUGGGCACGUCCUGGGAGGCCACCCUGCAUAGACUCUGCUGAUGGAGUUGAGCAGUGGCCUUCUUGAGAAGACCUCUCCAGGCACAGCCUGUGGAUGGCUUUUGUCCCCCAACUCUGGAUGCUUACUGUUUUGGGGUACGGACGUGUCUACUGCUUGACCUGUUAGCUGAACUGCAAGUAUACUUAUCCCACAAAUAGACUCCUUCAUUGUUUCUCAUGUCCUCUUUCAAAUAUUUUUUGCCCUUUGCUUUGCUAUGGACUUUAUAUUUUGAAUCCCAAGCCAAUUCUUUGGGAGCAAGCAGUUCAAUAGGUCUGCAGACGGUGGAUAUACAUAGGAAAAGUCCACUGUUUUGUCUGGUCACGAAAGAGCUUGUUUUCUGGCCAUAUCCCUUGGGCCUGUAAAGAAACUCUUGGAUAGAAGAGCUUAUCUGCAUCACUUUCUGACUGAAGAAUCUCUGAGAAGGCAAUUCUUAUCAAUUCUGAAGAAAAGAAUAGAAGAAGCUUAUAUAUGGGAUAUUCCUUGAACUUUGAUUUUGGCUUCUAUUCUAAAACAGCUAUAAGAAAUUUAUUCAGUUUUUCUCUCAUUCAUUUCUCUUUAAAAACAUGCUCACAGGGUGCCUGGGGGGCUCAGUUGGUUA